rnacentral:tRNA from 2 species
AAUAGCUCAGUUGGUUAGAGCAUCUGACUGUUAAUCAGAGGGUCGUAGGUUCAAGUCCUACUU